rnacentral:rRNA from 1 species
GAUGAACGCUGGCGGCGUGCCUAAUACAUGCAAGUCGAGCGAACAGACGAGGAGCUUGCUCCUCUGACGUUAGCGGCGGACGGGUGAGUAACACGUGGAUAACCUACCUAUAAGACUGGGAUAACUUCGGGAAACGGGAGCUAAUACCGGAUAACAUGUUGAACCGCAUGGUUCAACAGUGAAAGACGGUCUUGCUGUCACUUAUAGAUGGAUCCGCGCCGCAUUAGCUAGUUGGUAAGGUAACGGCUUACCAAGGCAAGGAUGCGUAGCCGACCUGAGAGGGUGAUCGGCCACACGGGAGCUGGGACACGGUCCAGACUCCUACGGGAGGCAGCAGAAGGGAAUCUUCGGCAGUGGGGGAAAGCCUGACGGAGCAACGCGGCGUGAGUGAAAAAGGUGUUCGGAUCGUAAAGCUCUGUUAUUGGGGAAGAACAGAUGUGUAAGUAAAUGUGCACGUCUUGACGGUACCUGAUCAGAAAGCCACGGCUAACUACGUG